AAAAAAAGUUAACUCUUUUCAGGGCUAAUGAUGCAAAUUGAUUAACGCGUAAUCAAGCCGCCAAUCUUUAUCAAAAAGUAAAAUCAUCGUUUUGUAAAAAGUUUCAACCUUUCAAUAAUACCAACAUCAUCAGGGCAAAGGCUAAGCAGAGUCCACAUGGAAGAUUGUCAAUAUUUUCCUAAAAGUAAGUCAAAAAACUCAGCAUAUAUAAUAAUUUAUAUAAAUAAAUAUUUUGGUACAUAUAUAAAUACAAAUUUUGGGCUGCACCUAUCUUUAGUAUCACCUUCUUCUCCUUUUCAAUUCUGGUUGUGGUUUCACCCAAAAUUCUUUCCUUGGAUUCUUAGGUUUCUCAAACUACCCAACUCCAGCUUUCAAGAUUGUGAUUUUUGAAAGCAACUCUCUUCCAAUUAUUUCUCAAUCAAGAAAAGUAUUCAGAAAGAAGAAAACAGAGACAUAAAGAGAUAUGAUAAAAGUAGGGAUGAUGGUUGAGUUAUUGGAAGAAUACGGAAUUGUGAUAUCAAGAAUGAGAGAGCAGCUGUUUCUCCCGAGGCGUUUGCAAUUUCCUUUGUUUUUUCAGAGUUUUCGUUCCUCUGCAGAUACAGAUUCUUCCUCUUUCCUCGUCUACUUCUAGUUAGUUAAAUUCUAUACGAACAAAUUUUAUUUUAUUUUUAGUUACCAGAUAGGGAAUUUCAUUUCUGCUAUGUUGGUCGACUUGAAUCUUUGCUAAGUUAUAGCUUUCAUACGUGUAAUGCGAGGAGAUUUUUCUGUUUCUUUCCAGUACAAAUGUGUACUUCAAAUCUUGUAGUGUGCAUCACUUUUGAUGAUGAUUCAUUUUCUUCAAAUGAAUAAAAAGAUGUUUAUACUUUCAUUGGUGCCAUUGCCUCUCAAGGAAGA
rnacentral:lncRNA from 1 species